AACGAACGUUAGCGGCGCGCCUAACACAUGCAAGUCGCACGAGAAAGGGCUUCGGCCCCGGUAAAGUGGCGCACGGGUGAGUAACACGUAGGUAACCUACCCCCGAGUGGUGGAUAACCCUCCGAAAGGAGAGCUAAUACAGCAUAAGACCACGGUUCUUUCGGGAGCCAUGGCCAAAGUGGGCCUCUUCAUGAAAGCUCACGCUUAGGGAAGGGCCUGCGGCCCAUCAGCUUGUUGGUGGUGUAAAAGACCACCAAGGCUAAGACGGGUAGCUGGUUUGAGAGGAUGAACAGCCACACUGGAACUGAGACGCGGUCCAGACUCCUACGGGAGGCAGCAGUGGGGAAUCUUGCGCAAUGGGCGAAAGCCUGACGCAGUGACGCCGCGUGAGUGAUGAAGGCCCUCGGGUUGUAAAGCUCUGUGGAGAGGGAAGAAUAAGGGUGGGCCAAUACCCCAUCUGAUGACGGUACCUCUUUAGCAAGCACCGGCUAACUCUGUGCCAGCAGCCGCGGUAAGACAGAGGGUGCAAACGUUGUUCGGAAUUACUGGGCGUAAAGCGCGUGUAGGCGGCAGGGCAAGUCGGAUGUGAAAGCCCACGGCUCAACCGUGGAAGUGCACCCGAAACUG
rnacentral:rRNA from 1 species